CGCUUCGCAGUUUGAAUGGCUAGGUGCUUGGCUGUUCUGUUCACCUGAGGAUCGUUCGUCCAGGAGUGCGAUAUGGCAUCCGCAGGCGACGAGUCGCCGCCACCCCCACCACACCCCCCGGCUGUAGCCAGCUCGGAGGAGGAGGAAGAAGAGGGAGAGGCGGGGGUCGCCGCGCCGCGGGCCCUGUCGCCCACCCCUCAGACCCUGCAGCGGUUCGAAGAGCUGUGCUGCCGCCUCAACAUGGACGAGACAGCUCGGGCGGAGGCCUGGGACAGCUACCGGAGCAUGAGCGAGAGCUACACGCUGGAGGGAAAUGAUCUUCAUUGGUUAGCGUGUGCCUUGUAUGUGGCUUGCAGAAAAUCCGUGCCAACUGUAAGCAAAGGGACAGUUGAAGGAAACUAUGUAUCUUUAACUCGACUCCUGCGCUGUUCAGAGCAGAGCUUAAUUGAAUUUUUUAACAAGAUGAAGAAAUGGGAAGAGAUGGCAAACCUACCCCAACAUUUCAGAGAACGUACCGAGAGAUUGGAAAGAAACUUCACUGUUUCUGCUGUAGUUUUUAAGAAAUAUGAACCCAUUUUCCAGGAGAUUUUUAAAUAUCCUCAAGAGGAGCAGCCCCGUCAGCCACGAGGAAGAAAACAGCGGCGACAGCCCUGUACCGUGUCUGAAGUUUUCCAUUUUUGCUGGGUGCUUUUCAUAUAUGCAAAAGGAAAUUUCCCCAUGAUCAGCGAUGAUUUGGUCAAUUCCUACCACCUUCUGCUCUGUGCCUUGGACCUGGUGUACGGAAAUGCCGUUCAGUGCUCCAACCGCAAAGAACUUCUGAACCCCAACUUUAAAGGCCUGUCUGAAGACUUCCACGCCAAAGACUUUAAACCUUCCUCUGACCCGCCGUGUGUCAUCGAGAAGCUCUGUUCCUUACACGACGGCCUAGUUUUGGAAGCGAAAGGAAUCAAGGAGCAUUUCUGGAAACCCUAUAUAAGGAAGCUUUGCGAAAAAAAGCUGCUUAAAGGAAAAGAAGAAAAUCUUACUGGGUUUUUAGAGCCUACGAACUUUGGAGAGAACUUCAAAGCCAUCAACAAGGCCUAUGAGGAGUACGUCUUAUCCGUUGGGAACUUAGAUGAAAGGAUAUUUCUUGGGGAGGAUGCCGAAGAGGAGAUCGGGACGCUCUGCAGGUGUCUGAGUGGAGCCGAGGCCGCCGAGAGGGCGCAGGUGAAGAGCAUCCUGCAGCAGCACUACGACAAGGCCAAAGCUCUUAGACUCUCCGCGCCCCUCGCCGGCGGGCGGCACCCGAAGGACGGCAGCCCCUGCGCGGCCCCGGGCUCCACGGCCGCGCACAGCCUGGGCCGCCUCCACAACAUGCUGGUGGGCCUGCGGAGCGUGCCCGGGGAGAAGCUGCAGCGGAUCCUGCGGACAUGUUCUAGGGAUCCAACCCAGGCUAUUGCCAACAGACUGAGAGAAAUGUCUGAAACGUAUUCUCAGCAUUCCCAGCCAGAUGAGGAUUCCAGUAACGCUGCCAAAGAAGUUGCCAGCAGACAGUUUCGUAUUGCAGAGAUGCUUUACUAUAAAGUAUUAGAAACUGUUAUUGAGCAGGAACAAAAAAGACUGGGAGACAUGGAUUUAUCUAACAUUCUGGAACAAGAUGCAUUCCACAGAUCACUCAUGGCCUGCUGCCUAGAGGUCGUCACUUUUUCUUACAAGCCUCCUGGGAAUUUUCCGUAUAUUACUGAAGUAUUUGAUGUGCCGUUUUAUCACUUUUACAAGGUGAUCGAGGUGUUCAUCCGCGCGGAAGACGGCCUCUGCAGGGAGGUGGUGAAGCACCUCAACCGGAUUGAGGAGCAGAUCCUGGACCAUCUGGCGUGGAAGGCCGAGUCGCCGCUCUGGGACAGGAUCAGGGACAACGGCAACAAAGUUCCCACGUGCGAAGAGGUCAUGCCGCCUCACAGCCUGGAGAGAGAGGAGCACGUCCGCGCUGCCAGCUCCCCUGCGAACCCCCGGAGGGGGGGUGACGGUCGGGCCGACGCGGGAGCGCUCGGGAGAAGCGUGGCGCCGGCAGGCGCGGGGUACGAGCGGCACGGCGGGCCCACGCUCAGCUCCACCAGGAGACGGCUGUUUGUGGACAACAACGACGGCCCCUCCGACCGAGGGACGCCGGCGCGCGCGGCUCCGCAGCCCCUGGUCAGCGCCGUCCCCGUGCAGAACGUGCCGGGGGAGGCUGUUCCUGUCACACCGGUUCCGGGGCAGACUUUGGUCACCAUGGCAACAGCCACUGUCACGGCCAACAAUGGACAAACUGUGACCAUUCCUGUCCAAGGCAUCGCCAAUGAAAACGGAGGGAUAACGUUCUUCCCCGUCCAAGUCAACGUGGGGGGACAGGCCCAAGCCGUGACCGGCUCCAUCCAGCCCCUCAGUGCUCAGGCCCUGGCUGGGAGCCUGAGCUCUCAGCAGGUGACAGGGGCAGCCGUGCAAGUCGCAGGGCAGGUGACCAUUCAGCAGAUGCCCCCAGGCGGACCGCAGCAGAAACAGGGGCCGGCUCCGACCAGCAGCAGCGGGAGGCCCCGGAAGACCAGCUCGUUAUCACUCUUCCUGAGGAAGGUGUACCACUUAGCAGGGGUCCGCCUUCGGGAUCUCUGCCUUAAACUGGAUAUUCCAGACUCUCUGAGGAUGAAAAUCUGGACCUGCUUUGAAUUCUCCAUAGUGCAGUGUUCCAGACUCAUGAUGGACAGACAUCUGGACCAGUUGUUGAUGUGCGCCAUUUACGUGAUGGCCAAAGUCACCAAAGAUGACAGGUCCUUCCAGAACAUCAUGCGCUGUUACAGGACGCAGCCACAGGCCCGGAGCCAGAUCUACAGAAGUGUUCUGAUCAGGGGGAAGAAGAGGAGGGACUCCGGCGGCAGCGACAGCAGGAGCCGUCAGGACUCUCCGACAGAACUGAAAGACAGGAGUGAGUGGGACCCUCAGGGAGCCAGCAGAGACUCCAGCCCCGUCAUGAGGUCCAGCAGCACGCUGCCCGUCCCGCAGCCCGGCAGCGCGCCGCCGACGCCUACCCGCCUCACGGGCGCCAACAGUGACGUGGAGGAGGAGGAGAGGGGGGACCUCAUCCAGUUCUACAACCACAUCUACGUGAAGGAUAUUAAGGCGUUUGCCGUGAAGUACUCAGAGGCAAACAUAGCGGAUGCGCCUCCGCUCUCGCCCUAUCCGUUCCUAAGAACAAGCUCCCCUCGCCGGAUCCAGCUGUCUCAGAACCAUCCUGUCUACAUUUCCCCACAUAAAAAUGAAACAACACUUUCUCCUCGAGAAAAGAUUUUCUACUACUUCAGCAAUAGUCCCGCAAAGAGACUGAGAGAGAUUAACAGCAUGAUACGGACGGGAGAAACUCCAACCAAAAAGAGAGGGAUUGUUUUAGAAGAUGGAAGUGAAUCGCCUGCCAAAAGAAUUUGCCCGGAAAACCACUCUGCCUUAAUCCGCCGUCUCCAAGACGUAGCUAAUGACCGAGGUGCCCACUGAGUGUCUGCAGGAAUGUGGGUGCCCGGUGCUUGGCCAGGACUCAGAAUAUUCAGUGGCACAGCCCGGCUCUGGUGUCAGGAAUGCAGAAGCCUAUGCCACCCACAGAGGACGAGAUCUCCCGUACCUGCCAGUGCCCAUUACCGCUGACCUGAUGCCACCCAGUAAUUAACCCAAGGAAUGACGACUCUGGUUCUUCCACAGACCUGCUGACUUACAUCCUGUAAAUAGCAACUUAGUACUAAAAGUUUUCUGCAAAUUUGCCUUUAAAGAGGACUAUGAUAUGCAUGAAAGUACUUGGAACAUCAAAAAUGUGUCCUGGUUGGCUCAAAUGAACACAGCACUGGUUUCCAGAGCCAGACAGUGCGCAGCACCCCACUGUCAUCCAAGACGGACCUGAUUUCACAGGGAGGACACCCGUCCCCUUGGGACACAGUGAUCGCCUCCCACGUAAAGUUACAGGUGACUGGGGGGGGCCAGUUACCUGUAAGGUCCCCUCCAAUUCUAACACGUAAUGGUUCUGUAACUUUGCCUUUAAAAAAUAAAAGUUGCCCCCAGUUCUUCCUAUGUUUCAGCAGGAGGUAUACUGUCUACAGUUGCAACAUAAUCACCUGGAAAUAACGACACCAUUCAUUAGCGGUCUAGUCUAUCUCAGGCGCAGUACAGCGCUUUCCAACAGGAGUGACAUAGAUAGACCAAAGACAUAAGAUACGUCCUAGUCAUUAGGAAACAAUUUUUAAAUUUCCGGUUAGGCCAUACAAACACGCCAGGAUGUUGGACCUGUACGAGUGUUACGUACAUGGCGUGAGCCAAAACUCAAAGACGGGGCUGCUUUCCUCCUACGUGCCACAGUCCCUACACAGGCACUACCUUAAUCCAUCGCCAGAACAGCCGUAAAUGCCAUGAUAGGAGACCACGGAACAGUGCCCACAAAACAGACAGGAACGGCCCGUGUUUGGCCCGGCUCGCCGGGGACAGUCAGACGGGCACCCAGGAACGGGGCGGAAACCCAUCUCCGCGCACCCAGAGAAUCUGGUCAAACCUGUCUUGAUGUGAAGUAAGGCAGGGGCCAUGCCCCAGUUUCAUGGCUACCUUGAGAUGGCCCGGGCCCACAAGCCCCUCUGGGUGGGUGGCUGAAGGUCUCGAAGGGUCGCCCCCCCCCCAACUAGGGUGCAAGGACAGCGGGUGCGGGGUCAGAGCCAGGGAAGGCGGGACCUGGAUGGGGCGGGCCAGCACAGCCCAGCUCCCGGACGGACAGACCCCAGCGCCCCCAGCGCCGGUUGGAGCCCCACCUCCGCUGCAGGCGCAGCAGGUGCCCGCAAACGCGGACAGGUGCCCAGCCCCGCCCCCCAUGUACCAGAGCGGCUGCCAUCGCUAUGGAGGCAAAAGCACCCAACAGGGCAGAAAAAUGCCGGCUCGGCCGAGGACACUGGCGGCCACAUUUAAAGACUCC